rnacentral:rRNA from 1 species
AGGAAAGUUCUGUGGCUCAAAGCUCCGGCGCCUUAGGAUGAAUCUGCGGCCUAUCAGGUUGUAGUGGGUGUAGUGUACCUACUAGCCUACGACGGAUACGGGUUGUGAGAGCAAGAGCCCGGAGAUGGAUUCUGAGACAUGAAUCCAGGCCCUACGGGGCGCAGCAGGCGCGAAAACUUUACAAUGCGGGAAACCGCGAUAAGGGGAUACUGAGUGCCAGCAUAUUAUGUUGGCUGUCCACCUGUAUAAACAGCAGGUGUUAGCAAGGGCCGGGCAAGACCGGUGCCAGCCGCCGCGGUAACACCGGCGGCCCGAGUGGUGGCCACUAUUAUUGGGUCUAAAGGGUCCGUAGCCGGUUUGAUCAGUCUUCCGGGAAAUCUGACAGCUCAACUGUUAGGCUUCCGGGGGAUACUGUCAGACUUGGGACCGGGAGAGGUAAGAGGUACUACAGGGGUAGGAGUGAAAUCUUGUAAUCCUUGUGGGACCACCAGUGGCGAAGGCGUCUUACCAGAACGGGUCCGACGGUGAGGGACGAAAGCUGGGGGCACGAACCGGAUUAGAUACCCGGGUAGUCCCAGCCGUAAACGAUGCUCGCUAGGUGUCUGGGACGGUGCGACCUUUUCAGGUG